rnacentral:rRNA from 1 species
GUACCUUUUGUAUAAUGGGUCAGCGACUUAUAUUCUGUAGCAAGGUUAACCGUAUAGGGGAGCCGUAGGGAAACCGAGUCUUAACCGGGCGUUAAGUUGCAGGGUAUAGACCCGAAACCCGGUGAUCUAGCCAUGGGCAGGUUGAAGGUUGGGUAACACUAACUGGAGGACCGAACCGACUAAUGUUGAAAAAUUAGCGGAUGACCUGUGGCUGGGGGUGAAAGGCCAAUCAAACCGGGAGAUAGCUGGUUCUCCCCGAAAGCUAUUUAGGUAGCGCCUCGUGAAUUCAUCUCCGGGGGUAGAGCACUGUUUCGGCUAGGGGGCCAUCCCGGCUUACCAACCCGAUGCAAACUGCGAAUACCGGAGAAUGUUAUCACGGGAGACACACGGCGGGUGCUAACGUCCGUCGUGAAGAGGGAAACAACCCAGACCGCCAGCUAAGGUCCCAAAGUCAUGGUUAAGUGGGAAACGAUGUGGGAAGGCCCAGACAGCCAGGAUGUUGGCUUAGAAGCAGCCAUCAUUUAAAGAAAGCGUAAUAGCUCACUGGUCGAGUCGGCCUGCGCGGAAGAUGUAACGGGGCUAAACCAUGCACCGAAGCUGCGGCAGCGAACGUAUCACUUAAAGCGAUUCAGCGGGUUACGAUUGACGGAGCGAAGCGACGU